rnacentral:rRNA from 1 species
UGGGGAAUAUUGGACAAUGGGCGGAAGCCUGAUCCAGCCAUGCCGCGUGUGUGAAGAAGGCCGUUUGGUUGUAAAGCACUUUAAGCGAGGAGGAGGCUACUUGGAUUAAUACUCUAGGAUAGUGGACGUUACUCGCAGAAUAAGCACCGGCUAACUCUGUGCCAGCAGCCGCGGUAAUACAGAGGGUGCGAGCGUUAAUCGGAUUUACUGGGCGUAAAGCGUGCGUAGGCGGCUUCUUAAGUCGGAUGUGAAAUCCCUGAGCUUAACUUAGGAAUUGCAUUCGAUUCUGGGAAGCUAGAGUAUGGGAGAGGAUGGUAGAAUUCCAGGUGUAGCGGUGAAAUGCGUAGAGAUCUGGAGGAAUACCGCUGGCGAAGGCAGCCAUCUGGCCUAAUACUGACGCUGAGGUACGAAAGCAUGGGGAGCAAACAGG